UAGGGAAUCUUCCACAAUGGGCGAAAGCCUGAUGGAGCAACGCCGCGUGUGUGAUGAAGGGUUUCGGCUCGUAAAACACUGUUGUAAGAGAAGAAUGACAUUGAGAGUAACUGUUCAAUGUGUGACGGUGUCUUACCAGAAAGGAACGGCUAAAUACGUGCCA
rnacentral:rRNA from 1 species